GCCGGAAGGACUGGGCCGAGCAUUUCCUGAGCGAAGGAGGGCUGGCUGCGGCUCCGAGGUGUCAGCCUAACGGUGACCUCUUCUAUCCCACAGCACUCCAUUUAUUUCCAUCAUAACAGGAAAAGGUAUAAUUUUGUUUGGUUAAUAAAGAAUCAAGAAGUGGACAGACCAAGAUGGCGGCAUAGGUAAACACCUGUACUUGCUGCCUCAUACAACCACAUCAAAAUUACAACUAAAAUACAUAACAACUAUCAUCCAGAACCAUGGGAAAGCUGGCUGAGUGGAAUUACUACAACUAGAGAGGUAAAGAAGAAAGUUCAAGAUUGGUAUGAGGUACGGAGGCAUGGAAUGGGCUGGCACCCAGGUGUGCCACUCUUUUAAUUGGGAGGGAUAUACAAGCUCCCACUUGCUCUGAGCUCCAGUGCCGGGUGAGACUCUGGGGGACCCAGACACAUAUGGGGAGAAACUCGACUGUCUGUCAUUGGGGCAGGAAUGUGGGGCGGCUCUCUUCCAGACGGAGUUGCUUGCAAUGGUCAUGGUUCCUGUGCUGGGACCUCCCCCCGUGCAGGGCUGACUGGAAGCCAUUGCUGUUUGCUCUGCCCUGGAGAUACCCUGAGACCCUUCCCGAUCCAAUUUACAACUCCCCUCAAGCUGUGUGCAGUGGCUUUUGCAUAUGAAUGGCCUGUCCUUUCUCAGACUAAAACCUGUCAAACAAACUGCAGCUGA